CACCCUCCCGGGCUUCCUUGCUACGCUCCUGCUUCCAUUCGCCAAGUUUCCUUUCAUAGCCUCCAAACGAAGGCGAGGGUGAGGGGAGGCAAAUGCGACUGGGUGGGGGCAGCAGCAGCAGCCGCGAAGUUUGCAAGGAGCCCCGAGUCUCCUUGGGCGAGAGAGAAGAGAGGAGCCCCGCCGCGCCAGCCUCAGCCCCCUCCGAGGCCGACUGUUUGGGAAGGGGCCGCUGCUCUCUCCAGCAGGGGCGAGGAGGAGCCGGGGAAGGGAGGCCGGGAGAGGGGCGAGCCAGGGCGGGCUGCUGCCUAUGAGGGAGUCCUUGCCAGGCGCCUCGGCGUGAGCAGGCAAGGAGGAGGAGGCGGCAAGCCGAGGAUCGAUGGGGAGGGGACUAGGAUUGAAACGGCGGAGGGCGGCGGCGAAGCUGCACAUGUGACAGCAAGAAGCGGGCUGUAAGAUGGUGGAGAGACGUGACGACCGGAGAAGACUCCAAGGAGCUGCCUGUGACCCUGCCCGAGACCUCGACGAAGAUGUCAAACAGACAGACGGAGAAGACGCCGAGGAACUUCCAGCAGCCCCAGUAGGGAACGUGACUUGAAUGCCGGAUGGACAGGCUCCUGACAGUAUGUAGUCCAGAAACUACAAUUGGUACAGAAUGCAGCAGCCAGAUUGGUAUCUGGGACAACUUGAAGGGACCACAUAACACCAGUUUUGAGGGAACUGCACUGGCUGCUGAUAUGUUUUCAGGUGAAAUACAAAGUGCUGGUUAUUACCUAUAAAGCCUUUAAUGGCCUGGGUCCGGGCUAUUUAAGAGAACACCUCCUUUAUCAUAAUCCCUGCUGCCUGUUACCAUCUUCUGGAGAGGUCUGGUUACAGUUGCCACCGGCACAUUUGGUGGUGACCCAGGACUGGGCUUUCUCUGUGGCUGCCCUGGGCUUUGGAAUGUGCUUCCUGUUGAAAUAAGAUAAUCUCUCUCUGUUUGUUUUCAGGAAGACCUUGAAGACUCUGUUCUCACAGGCUUAUAAUUAGAAUUAAUUUUAAUAAUUUGUUUUAAUAAUUGUUUUAUGCUACUGUUUUGAUUUCUGUUUUAUGCUACUGUUUCAAUUGUUUUGCAUAUUUUAAUCUGUGCUAAUUUUUAAAUAUUGUUUAAAAUUUUGUAUACCGCCUAGAGAUGUAUAUAUGAGGUGGCAUAAAAAUAUGAUAGCUAGAUAGAUAAAUAAAUUAGUCUGGAUGUCA